UCACUUUGGCAGUGUAUAUACUAAAAUUGGAAUGAUACAGAGAGGAUUAGCAUAGCCCCUGUGCAAGGAUGACCUGCAAGUUUAUGAAGCAUUUCAAAUGUUU
ensembl:snRNA U6 U6 spliceosomal RNA